rnacentral:rRNA from 1 species
GAUGAACGCUAGCUACAGGCUUAACACAUGCAAGUCGAGGGGAAACGAUAUUGGAAGCUUGCUUCCGAUAGGCGUCGACCGGCGCACGGGUGAGUAACGCGUAUCCAACCUGCCCAUCACUUGGGGAUAACCUUGCGAAAGUAAGACUAAUACCCAAUGACGUCUCUAGAAGACAUCUGAAAGAGAUUAAAGAUUUAUCGGUGAUGGAUGGGGAUGCGUCUGAUUAGCUUGUUGGCGGGGUAACGGCCCACCAAGGCGACGAUCCAUAGCCGACCUGAGAGGGUGACCGGCCACAUUGGGACUGAGACACGGCCCAAACUCCUACGGGAGGCAGCAGUGGGGAAUAUUGCACAAUGGGCGAAAGCCUGAUGCAGCGACGCCGCGUGAGCGAAGAAGUAUUUCGGUAUGUAAAGCUCUAUCAGCAGGGAAGAAAGUGACGGUACCUGACUAAGAAGCCCCGGCUAACUACGUGCCAGCAGCCGCGGU